rnacentral:rRNA from 1 species
GAUGAACGCUGGCGGCGUGCUUAACACAUGCAAGUCGAACGGAAAGGCCCAAGCUUGCUUGGGUACUCGAGUGGCGAACGGGUGAGUAACACGUGGGUGAUCUGCCCUGCACUUCGGGAUAAGCCUGGGAAACUGGGUCUAAUACCGGAUAGGACCACUUCUUGGAUGUUGUGGUGGAAAGUUUUUUCGGUGUGGGAUGAGCUCGCGGCCUAUCAGCUUGUUGGUGGGGUAAUGGCCUACCAAGGCGUCGACGGGUAGCCGGCCUGAGAGGGUGUACGGCCACAGUGGGACUGAGAUACGGCCCAGACUCCGACGGGAGGCAGCAGUGGGGAAUAUUGCACAAUGGGCGCAAGCCUGAUGCAGCGACGCCGCGGGGGGGAUGACGGCCUUCGGGUUGUAAACUCCUUUCGCUAGGGACGAAGCGUUUUGUGACGGUACCUGGAGAAGAAGCACCGGCUAACUACGUG